GAUGAACGCUAGCGGCAGGCUUAAUACAUGCAAGUCGAGGGGUAACACGGGUAGCAAUACCUGGUGACGACCGGCAAACUGGUGCGGAACACGUACAGAACCUUCCUUUAAGCGGGGGAUAGCCCAUAGAAAUGUGGAUUAAUACCCCAUAGUAAUAUUGUCUGGCAUCAGAUGGUAUUUAAAGAUUUAUCACUUAAAGAUGGCUGUGCGGCUGAUUAGGUAGUUGGUGCGGGAACGGCCCACCAAGCCAUCGAUCAGUAACUGGUGUGAGAGCACGACCAGUCACACGGGCACUGAGACACGGGCCCGACUCCUACGGGAGCAGCAGUAAGGAAUAUUGGUCAAUGGACGCAAGUCUGAACCAGCCAUGCCGCGUGAAGGAUGAA
rnacentral:rRNA from 1 species